rnacentral:rRNA from 1 species
UAACACAUGCAAGUCGAGCGGUAGCACAAGAGAGCUUGCUCUCUGGGUGACGAGCGGCGGACGGGUGAGUAAUGUCUGGGAAACUGCCUGAUGGCGGGGGAUAACUAGUGGAAACGGUAGCUAAUACCGCAUAACGUCGCAAGACCAAAGUGGGGGACCUUCGGGCCUCACGCCAUCAGAUGUGCCCAGGUGGGAUUAGCUGGUAGGUGGGGUAACGGCUCACCUAGGCGACGAUCCCUAGCUGGUCUGAGAGGAUGACCAGCCACACUGGAACUGAGACACGGUCCAGACUCCUACGGGAGGCAGCAGUGGGGAAUAUUGCACAAUGGGCGCAAGC